ACAGCAUGGAUGGAACUGGAAAACAUUAUGCUAAGCGAAAUAAGCCAGGAUGCAUCUCUCAUGGUUGAAGAAGUGGCGGAGGAUGACGUGGAGUGAGUGCCCGAGGAUCCAUGCCUGGGACAAUUUAUGGGAAGAAAAAUCUUACAGCUUGGGCACAAAGAAAAGAGCUCUUUUAUUCCAUCUUGUCUCCAAUCCAUUUUUAUUCAAGAAAGACUCAUUGAAGAUUCCUUUGAGAAGAGUCUGUUUUGAAGAAGGAAAAGGAAAUACUGUUGAGACAAGAAGGCGAACAGACCAAAAGGGUGAUAGAAAAAUGUAUUUUAGUUUUGUGUAUAACAGCAAUGGGUAUUCAUAGAGUGAACAUGGAGAGCUGAGAAGGAAGAAAAUUAAGAAAUGACUGGAUUUUGUGCAUCCUGAUGAAAAAAUGUUGGCCAUCUACUAACACUGAAAAUAGUUGAUGCUUUAGUCCCAGCAUUCUCUGUCUCUGUAGUGUGUAGUUAUCAUAAACUCUUUUUACUUUCAGAACCACUCCUUUGUCCUCUGUGAGUGAUUGGUACUCUUGCUUCUGUUUCAGCAGUGCUUCCAAGGAUAAAUGAAAAAAUAUAUUGUCUGCCAAAACCUAAAAAGUACAUUUUGUUUAUUUAUAAUUAGAACUUUGCAAGGUACCCCUCUUGUUUUUAAAAUUCUGUAGAGCUUAGAACCAAUCAUUGUAGGGGCUUUUGGUCAAUAAAUAUUAUAUUUUCAAGAUGAAGUA